GACGAACGCUGGCGGCGUGCUUAACACAUGCCAGUCGAACGGAAAGGCCCUGCUUUUGUGGGGUGCUCGAGUGGCGAACGGGUGAGUAACACGUGAGUAACCUGCCCUUGACUUUGGGAUAACUUCAGGAAACUGGGGCUAAUACCGGAUAGGAGCUCCUGCUGCAUGGUGGGGGUUGGAAAGUUUCGGCGGUUGGGGAUGGACUCGCGGCUUAUCAGCUUGUUGGUGGGGUAGUGGCUUACCAAGGCUUUGACGGGUAGCCGGCCUGAGAGGGUGACCGGCAACUUGGGGACUGGGAUAGGGCCCGAACUCCAACGGGGGGCAGCGUGGGGGAAUAUUGCACAAUGGGCGGAAGCCUGAUGCAGCAACGCCGCGUGCGGGAUGACGGCCUUCGGGUUGUAAACCGCUUUCGCCUGUGACGAAGCGUGAGUGACGGUAAUGGGUAAAGAAGCACCGGCUAACUACGUG
rnacentral:rRNA from 1 species